UACGUAGGGGGCAAGCGUUGUCCGGAUUUAUUGGGCGUAAAGAGCGUGUAGGCGGCCAGAUAGGUCCGUUGUGAAAACUCGAGGCUCAACCUCGAGACGCCGAUGGAAACCAUCUGGCUAGAGUCCGGAAGAGGAGAGUGGAAUUCCGGGUGUAGCGGUGAAAUGCUUAGAUAUGACAUAGAACACCUAUUGCGAAGGCAGCUUACUACGCAGAUAUUGACGCUCAUGCACGAAAGCGUGGGGAUCAAACAGG
rnacentral:rRNA from 1 species